rnacentral:rRNA from 1 species
UACGUUCCCGGGCCUUGUACACACCGCCCGUCACGUCACGAAAGUCGGCAACACCCGAAGCCGGUGGCCCAACCCGUAAGGGAGGGAGCCGUCGAAGGUGGGGCUGGCGAUUGGGACG